GACGAACGCUGGCGGCGUGCUUAACACAUGCAAGUCGAACGGAAAGGCCCUGCUUUUGUGGGGUGCUCGAGUGGCGAACGGGUGAGUAACACGUGAGUAACCUGCCCUUGACUUUGGGAUAACUUCAGGAAACUGGGGCUAAUACCGGAUAGGAGCUCCUGCUGCAUGGUGGGGGUUGGAAAGUUUCGGCGGUUGGGGAUGGACUCGCGGCUUAUCAGCUUGUUGGUGGGGUAGUGGCUUACCAAGGCUUUGACGGGUAGCCGGCCUGAGAGGGUGACCGGCCUCGUUGGGUCUGAGAUGAGGCCCAGACUGUUACGGGGGGCAGCAGGGGGGAGCAUUGCGCAAUGGGCCGAAGCCUGAUGAAUCAACGCGGCGUGCGGAAUGACGGCCUUCGGGUUGUAAACCGCUUUCGCCUGUGACGACGCGUGAGUGACGGUAAUGGGUAAAGAAGCACCGGCUAACUACGUG
rnacentral:rRNA from 1 species